AAAGAAAAAAAAAAGUAACCAGAAAGGAGCCAUAAGCAGUGCAUUUCUUAUAAGCAUUGUCCCAGUAGUGAAGUGAUGAUAGGUUGAUUGAAGACUCCAGAGUAAACAUUGCAGUGUUUAUAUAUCUUCCUCUAUAUUAGGUGCUUUCCAAAAAUUUCUUCGGGAAUACGUUCGUUGAAUAGCAUCACACUUAUUCCAGCCUGUUCAGGUUUCAGGAAAUGGUGUUUCAGGGCCGCUUCAAAGAUGGAGCUAGGGGCUGCGCGAUGUGCUAUCCCUAGUUUAGUUAGGAGGGAUACUGGCUUCUGUGAAAGGGUGACACUGAUGAAACUUUCCUGAAUGCAACACAGCCUUUGGGAACAUAGGAUAUUUCAUAACUGCUGUAAACUUGGCCGUUGUAACACUUCUUGUCUCAAAAUAAUUAACAGACAAGAAUAGUUUGAUGAUCUUUUUCUCUCUGAAAUACACGGCAGAUGAAAUGCUAGUAGUGCAGCACACUCCUUUAAGAUGAAGUAUUUCAAGGCCAAAAGUGAAUAGAAAUCAGUCAGUUUUUUAAAAGUCGACAUUUUUAUCAUUUUAUCAGUGAAUGUAUAUUAAGUAGGGGUGUGCAAAUAUCAAAUUUUCAAUUUUGAAGCAAAUUCAAAUAAUGAAAACCAUCUGUGAAUCGAAUCAAAUAUUUUUUUGAAUGAGAAAAUACUAUUGGUUUUGAAAAGAAAAGCUAAUGUUUUUCACAAACCAGAGGUACGAAAAGUAGCAAGUUCAUAGCAUAGCAGAUAACGUACAGGAAAAUUGUGCUUUGUGGUGAACAAAAUUCUCUAGUACAAUACUUUUGCUUGACAGUACCAUAACUGCAGUUGUUUAAUGUAUCCCUUUGCAAGCUGAGCUGAGCUUGCACCAUUGCUCACAUGUUUCAUUUUGGCCCAAAAUUUCACCGUGCACAUAUCUUUCAACCUAUGCUUGUGGCAGUGAAAAUUGCUGCCAAAAGCAAGGGAAAAUUGCUGCUAGUUGAUAAUCUCGUCAAAGUCUAUCGACAGUGCUGACAUGGAAAGAGCCUGUUUAGACCCUUUCGUUGUUGGCGUAUCUGGGUUCCAUGGUAUUAAAAUUUUCCUUGCUUCUGAUAAAGCCAAGUUUUUAAUCCAGUUUGCCAUUGAAGCAUCCUGGUGGUACUCAACUAUGUAAGAACGAGGGUCUAAAAAAACACUACUAAGCUAGUUUGAAAAUUGUGUUUUUUGGGCACUUAACCAGAUUAUUAGCAGGUACAGAGGUUUCCACCUAGCGGCUGGUGUAGUCUAGAUGCAUGAAGAGGCAGUACAGUGUGGUUAAUUGAUCUGAGAGUGUUGGGUAGCCAUACGAACCACCAGGGACAGCCUUUAUGCUUUUUUUUAUAUGCUUCACUGCACGGAUAAUAUGCUUCACCGCAGCACAGACUGCAUGCUUUGCCGCAGAACAAAGCUGUUCUGCGGUGAAGCUAAUUUAAAACACCAACAGCAGCAAUGUCUGGGCUGUUGAAUAUGUCGAAUAGUAAUAUCCCUCUCGAAUCGAAUACUAAAUGAUUAGAAUCUAAUAUACGAAGCUUCGCAUAUUUGCACGCCGAUAAUUUUAACCCUUUAUUUUUUAGUUGUUGAUACUGAAAAGUCAGAAGCUUAGGUAAACUGUUGACCAGGUGUUUCAUGGAAGAGGUUAAGUGAUUGUUAAAUGCAGCACAAGGAGUUUGAACAAUACGUAAUCUGCAGUGGCAGAUGUCACAACCUGCCUGAUAAUUGUGAAUAUAUGUUAAAUGCCAGACCCAGUCACCAGUGAACUUUUUUCAGUAACAACAUUAGUGCAUUGUGUAAUUCCAAAAUUGAAGGUAGUCAUUUCGCAUCAUACCCCAUUUGGUAGAAGCUCCACAACAAGCACCACUUUCUACAAAUAUGUACACAAGACUCAUUGCUAUUUGAGAUAAAAUUGUUUUUCACUGCAUUUUCCCAGUGCAAGACAAUUUUAACGGGAACUUUAGUGCAGUAUUUUGCCACAGAUCUUUUUGUGAAACAUGUUUCAAGCUGAUACUACUACCAAAUGGGUGUUAGCUUUGUGUAGUGACUGCCUUGAAUUUUACGGUCACAGCAUGUCUGCUAAUGUUUUUUAUUCAGCAAAUUUUCGUUCAGUGAUCUAUAUAUAGUGAUUAUCGUAUGGACCCUGGCAUCCACCAUGAAAAAAAUUUUAUGAUGUGGGCUGAUAUUAUGCACCCUCAGUAUAUGAUGCAGCCUAAACUCAUAAUGACAUUGUUAGAACUAAUAAUUGUUAUAAGUGUUGUCAUUACUGCACUGUUCUAGAUAUUUUAUCAGUGUUACUAUUAUAACUGUGCUGUACUAUACUAGAUGUUUGUGUUGCUUUCUUUUGCCCGAAGACAGGUGAAUGUCUUGGCUGGAAUACUUGAAGAGCAAAGUAUUUAGACAUCGUGUAAUGCUUAUUGCUUGCAGAAUUGUUGAUGCUCAACUCUGAUGAUAAAGCAUAUUUGGGAAAAUAUAGUGUAUGGACACACCAACUGGAAAAAAAAAGCUAUAAUGCAUGUGCACUACCCGCAAGAGUUUCUUUUCUUUAGUCUUCCCCAACCAAUAUUUAUACUCCACAGCCUUGCUGAGGGGGCAGUUCGCAUAUCAAAUGGCAACAAGUGAUUUCUCAGGACAGGUUGUUGAAAAACUUAGUAGUUGGUGCCCAUGUGUAGUCAUCUAUCUGUCCGUGUGGCCAUUUUCUAUAGUAUAAAUGUUAUCUGUUUUAAAGGAAUCCCGAAUGUAGUAUUGAAAUCUUUGGACAUCUUCUAAGAAAUGUUGCUACAAAAGCAAGGGACGUUUCCAAAGCACCACUGAUGACUAACCUCUUUGGGGCCAGUGUGUGUCCACUGGCCGUCUAUUGCUCAUGGCUCUGCAAGUGCCCAAGGGGAUGUGCUUUCUGCCACAUAAGCCUCUAUGCGAGCCUUUAGUGUCACUGCUUGCUUCUUGCCAUACAGCAGUGACAGUGAUUCACUGGCAAAAUGGUUGUAGCAAUCUUGUUAAAGUCUUAUUUGCAAAUGGCUCGGGAGGUGCCAGUAAACAGUUCUAUGGCAGCAUUUAUUUUAGCCUAAUUGUCUAGCUCUUUCUUGCAGAAAGUAAGACCUUUUUUAUUGAGGCAUAACAGAGAAAUCUUUAUAAUGUUUUGUCAUAUUUGUAAACACUUGCCUGUUUUCUGUGCUGUAGUUGCAUACGCAUUAGGAGUUAUUGCAUACAUGCAUUAUACGAGUCAUGUAACAAUGUCGUAGAGUAACCCUGAGUACCCUCACAAGAGUCUGUCACUUAUGUUGAGUGUGUUCACCUUACCAUGGUAAGGUAUUGGGAUGUGUUGGAUUGAAUUUUUUCUUUAGAAUAUGAAGAAAUUUUGAAUUGUAGCAAGAGAGUGUAUUUCACCCCAUUCGGUGCAGUGUCUGUGUAUACAGACAGGAUGCACCACUCAACUUCAGCCAUAGUUUUAAAAUAUGUCGGUGUAACUAUGCUAUCUUGCAAAUUAAAACAUGUUUCUGAUGACUCUAUGGGAGCAGAUAUGAGGUUUGUUCAAAAAGUGUCAAAUGUUUGGUCAGCAGAAAUACAUUUAUUGAUUAGGAGGUACAAAACCUUAAUCCCCUUCAAAGUAGUCUCCUUGGUAAUGCACACACUUGUCCCAGUGCUCCCACCAUUGUUGGAAACACAAAUGGAACGCAUCUUUUGGAAUGGUGAUCAGCUGGGCUGUCGCAUUCUGCAUGAUGUCUUCUCUUGACUCAAAUUGGGUUCCUUUCAGUGGCACUUUCAGCUUGGGAAAUAGCCAGAAUUCACACGGAGCGAUGUCAGGGGAGUAGGGAGGCUGCUGAACCACAGGAACAUUGUGUUGGACAAAGAAAGUUUGAAUCAGAUGCACAGAAUGGGCGGGUGCGUUAUCAUGAUGGAGCUGCGAAGUUUUUGCUGCCCACAGAUCUGGUCGUUUGUGCCGCACAGCAUUACAAAGGUGACGAAGGACCUCUUGGUAGUAUUCCUUUGUGAUGGUUUAGCCUUGUGGUGUGUACUCAUGAUGCCCCACCGCACGGAAGUUUAAGAAAACAGUCAACAUGACCUUGACAUUGCUGCAGACCUGCCAUGCUUUUUUUGGCCUCGGGAACGUCGGAUGUUUCCACUGUGACGACUGCAUCUUGGUUUCUGGGUCGUACCCAUAAAACCACAGCUCAUCGCUUGUGAUCACCGUGUUCAUAAACUUGGGGUUACUGUUUUCAUUGUCCAACAGGUCCUGUGUGAUUUCCAGACAGAGUUGCUUCUUUCCCAUUGUUAGCAGUUUCGGUACAAAUUUUACGGGCACUCCUCAUGGCCAAAUCCUCGGUCAAAAUUGAAUGUACUGAUCCAAUGUUUACCCCUAUCUCGUUGGUAAGUUCUCUGACUGUGAUGAAACAGUCUGCACUUGCUCAAUGACAUUUUCAUUUCGACUUGCUGAAGGUCUGCCUGAACGUGGUUCGCUGUCCACUGAUGUGUGGCCAUCUUUGAAGCGGUUGUACCACUCCUUUAUCCGUGAGUUGCUCAUGGCAUCAUCUCUGAAAGCCUGUUGAACCUUGUGGGUGGUUUCUACUUCGGUAUGCAAGCUUUUGGCAAAAUUCUAUGAAAUGUCACUGCUCAUGUUGUUGCGUCAUUUUGCAACUUACUAGAAUCCGACAAGCGCUCACUACACAGCCUCACUCAUAGGCCAACUGCCAGCAACUAGCGCUUUCUGCGGGCAGAAAAAAUAUUCGCACAUGUACAUGAAUGUCCCCUCCAUAUCUUCACUAAAGGAAGCCUCCUGUACUUCAUUUGUUUAUGUGGGAAAGAAGAAGGUUCUAUAUUUUUGAAGACACCUCAUACAUUCUGGAUCAGCUGCAGGCUGAUCCAGUAGGUAAGUUGGAACGAUCAGCCACAAAGACGGUAUUAUGGGACGAAGGUCUCCAAGAAUUAUGCGUUGACUGCCGUAAAUGGCUCGGGCUUGGUACACUCUAACGUUGCAUAGAUUUUCACACUUCAUUUUGGCUGUUUGCAUGCGACAGCUUCUCAAGACAUCCACUUGCGCCACAGCGCCGGAUUAACCAAGGCUAAAGAAUGCCAAAGCUGUUGCAUCAUGCAUGCUGUAGCUGCAAUCUAUGCAAAAACCUAGCAACCCCCUUGUCCAAUAUGUAUGACUGAGCAAUGGGUUGUGGCGACCUUCUACAGUCUCCAACAGCUGUACAGAAUCUUCCCUUUCUUCUAUCUUUGACUUUCCUUCUUCCGCUAACAUGCAGUGUCAGCUGCAUGCAAGUUGAGCACAUGCAAGUGGCACUCACCAGCUAAAACACACACAUUGUACUUUCAGGGACCCAAGAGAUUUGGUAAAACCUCCCAUUCGAUUCUUACUAACAGUAUGAAUAUUCUUCUGGGGAUAUUGCAGUUUGAAAACUUCAAUUAUCAGGUAAGACAAAAGGUUUACAAGAACAAUUAGCAGGACAGUCUUUCAAAGUUAACGCUUCACUUCAGCCAACCAUAAUUAACCUUAAUUUUAUACAACAAAAAGCGAUGGCGGGAAGUCGUGCAGUGUAUACGAGUAGAAACCGAUUGCCGGUGCAAAUACCGCAGUGAGCAUCUGCGUCACUGCCUGUUCAUUGUAUCAGCGGCAACGUGCCAGCUUGUAUGUCUUGAGAGCACUGUGGUCACUGUGCGUGUAUACGUAGUCAUGUUUUUGCUUUUCCACGUCUUGUGCACUUUCCUAAGUGCAAAAUCAAUAUGCACUAGACGGGAACCUAUCAAACCUCAUCGCAUCUUUGCAGGAAAAUUCUAUGGCUUUCUAAUUGAAACUUUUUCACUAGAUUCAGGAGCUGUCAUGUUGAUUGAUUAAUCUUGCCUGAUUAGGUAGUGUAAUUAGUCCCAUGGAGUCAUCGACAACAUGCUUUAAGUAGUGUCCUCGAAUUGUACACAGACAUAAAUUUAAACUUUGACGAAAAGUACAUGUGGGCAGCUUGUACAUUCAAAUACACAGUGUGAUACAUACCCAAUGUUGUAAAACCUGUGAUAUGUGCAGUAUUGUUAAUUGUUCAAGAUUGAGAUUGUUAAUUGCUCUCAGGUACACCCUUUUGAAACGUUGUAGUUGGUUGUGCACAGCAGAAUGCAAUAACAGCGUUCUGGUGCAGCUCUGUCUUUCUCUGUGAUGUUAAUGAGACUCUAAAGAGAAACAUUAAAUCUGUUUUAGACUGACAAACAUUA
rnacentral:lncRNA from 1 species